rnacentral:rRNA from 1 species
UACGUAGGUGACCAGCGUUGUCCGGAUUUCCUGGGCGUAAAGAGCGCGCAGGCGGUCGUUCAAGUCGAGUGUGAAAGCCCCCGGCUCAACUGGGGAGGGUCAUUCGAUACUGAUCGACUUGAAGGCAGGAGAGGGAAGCGGAAUUCCGGGUGUAGCGGUGAAAUGCGUAGAUAUCGGGAGGAAUACCGAUGGCGAAGGCAACUGCCUGGGCCUGAACUGACACUGUGACACGAAAGCGUGGGUAGCAAACAGG